rnacentral:rRNA from 1 species
UACGGAGGGUGCGAGCGUUGUCCGGAAUCAUUGGGCGUAAAGGGCGCGUAGGUGGCCCGGUCAGUCCGUGGUGAAAGCGCGGGGCUCAACCCCGCGUCGGCCAUGGAUACUGCUGGGCUUGAGCACUGUAGAGGCAGGCGGAAUUCCGGGUGUAGCGGUGGAAUGCGUAGAGAUCCGGAGGAACACCGGUGGCGAAGGCGGGUCUCUGGGCCAUUACUGGACGCUGAGGAGCGAAAGCGUGGGGAGCGAACAGGA